rnacentral:rRNA from 1 species
AGUGAACGCUGGCGGUAGGCCUAACACAUGCAAGUCGAACGGCAGCACAGUAAGAGCCUGCUCUUACGGUUGGCGAGUGGCGGACGGGUGAGGAAUACAUCGGAAUCUACUUUUUCGUGGGGGAUAACGUAGGGAAACUUACGCUAAUACCGCAUACGACCUACGGGUGAAAGCAGGGGAUCUUCGGACCUUGCGCGAUUGAAUGAGCCGAUGUCGGAUUAGCUAGUUGGCGGGGUAAAGGCCCACCAAGGCGACGAUCCGUAGCUGGUCUGAGAGGAUGAUCAGCCACACUGGAACUGAGACACGGUCCAGACUCCUACGGGAGGCAGCAGUGGGGAAUAUUGGACAAUGGGCGCAAGCCUGAUCCAGCCAUACCGCGUGGGUGAAGAAGGCCUUCGGGUUGUAAAGCCCUUUUGUUGGGAAAGAAAAGCAGCAGGUUAAUACCCCGCUGUUCUGACGGUACCCAAAGAAUAAGCACCGGCUAACUUCGUG